rnacentral:rRNA from 1 species
UACGGAGGGAGCGAGCGUUGGUCGGAAUUACUGGGCGUAAAGGGCGCGUAGGCGGCCUUCUAAGUCGGACGUGAAAUCCCUCGGCUUAACCGAGGAACUGCGUCCGAGACUGAAAGGCUUGAAUCCGGGAGAGGGAUGUGGAAUUCCAGGUGUAGCGGUGAAAUGCGUAGAUAUCUGGAGGAACACCGGUGGCGAAGGCGGCAUCCUGGACCGGUAUUGACGCUGAGGCGCGAAAGCCAGGGGAGCAAACGGG